GACAACAUCAGGGGUGGACAGGGAACUUAAAGUGCCCCUGGAAAAAACAAAAAAAGUGGCCCCAGAAGAUGGCAACACAAGUUGGCAGGUAUCUCAUGUCAGUGGUUUAACAGCUGUUAUUCCCUCGUGGCAUCUUCCUGCCUCAUGUAAGACAGAAGAUUGGCUAUCCAAAUCAAGGACAUUCUGCAUUCAGUCAACAGCAUGUACAAAAAGGAAAUGAUAUAUUCUUGGAAUAAAUACAUCAUGAAAAUGUACAUCUAACCACAUAAAAGAAUAGCCUCCCAUUCCACACAGCAUAAACCAGGGUGGAGGCUGCUCAGUGAGGAAACAGACACCACUGGACCAUGGUCAGGUUGUAUGGAAAACCAAAGGAUGGGUCAUCAGUAAAAAGAACAUCUUGGAAAACCCCUUUAAAUAGAAACAAAGUAAUACGGCAAAAGUGAAAAUUCAGCUUUCUUGCAGUUUUUGAAGUCCCCCAACUAAUCACACAGUGUGGCCAUCUUGAAUGACAGAAAAGGAGACCGGGAAUUGGCAGAUCUGCAGCUAAAAAAAAGAAAAGGAGGUCACAGAUUAGUGUUCUACUCAUUCCCCAGUUAAUAUGAUUUGUUUCUUGAACCAAAGUAUUGCUUUACAUCAUUGUUAUUGCCAUUGUCCUCAUACAAUCCAAGUUUGAAAAAUACAUUCACAUCAUGACCUGAACGCAUAAUCCCAACCCAAGAGUCCGAGAAGAGAGAUUAUCAUUACCAAUCUUUCUAUGCUUUCUAAAAAGGUUGUCUGCUUUAUCUAUUCCCUAAAAUAAACUCAUGACAGGUUGUCCUGUUGCAUUUACCCCAAGUUAUCAGCAUAAUUUAUAGAUUAAUCUGGCAGCAAGUGCUCAGUCUCCCUGUAGCAUCACCACAGAGGAAAUUAAAGCUUAUAUGGUGCCCAGAGGUGUCAAUCAUUUUACCAUGUAAUACAUGGAUGUGUUAGAUUUUUCCCAGAGAAAGAGAGAGAAAUGUUCUUUCCAGCCCCUCUUUGAGCUGGCUAAUUGAUUUUGAAUGAUGUAACUCCAUAAUAUAGCAAAACUGAAUUUCCAGCAAUAAUCAAAACACAACUGUAUCAAUUCUUGACUAUAACAGAUUUGUGGUAAUCCAUGUCUUGUAAGUAAAUAAGAGAAAAGGUACCAAGAGGGUUUUGUGUGUUAGACCAUUUAGAACAUGAAAAGGUCAGGAGAGUAGGACCUUAAUCUGAGAAAGGCAUCACUCUUAAAAGGUCAUGUAUGGACACUCACUGGGGGACACCCAAAGGUCAUUACAUCAAAUUAUAAACUUUUCUUUACAAAGAUAAGUAAUAAAAUAAAUUUGAUGGAUGGUGUAAAAUCAUUUUAAAAUGCAAAUUACCUUUUUGCAAAACACAGCAUGUUUAACGGCUGUUAUACUUUUAUCUUGUGUUAUCUCAAUUGCAUUGUUGCUUGGAGUUUCAGUUAGAAAGUACUAUUUAGAAAGAGACAGGAGGAUGUACUCAUAUGUAAUCUUUCAGAUUUUGUUUUGGCGUAUGAAAUUUAUUUUUCGAUUUUUAUUAAAUGAAUGAUCUGAUCUCCUUCAAUGCAUUGUAAUUAAAAAUAUUUUUUUGUAUCACUCUAAAGGUGGAUCUAGACAGUCGGUUUAUCAGGCAGUAUAUCAGUUGUGCUCAGCCAGCUAUUUUAGGCCAUGAGCUGUAUACAAUUGAUAUGUGUGUACUGCACGUCAGUGCACAGAUCUGCCAUCUAUACAUUGCCAGAAAACGUAGCAUGCAGUAUUUUUCUCUUUGGAGCUAUUUGGCUGUUAGACAUACAGUUAUGUAUCUUUUACGUUAUUAUUAUUUAAAGUUUUUAGUUUACUAUUUUUUAGCUGCCACCAUAUGUUGAAAAUCAUCUAAAACAUAAAGAUAUGUUUUUAUUUUGCCCACUUUUGACAAGUUUCACAAUACAACAGAUCUUUUUUUGCUGCUGUUAACCCUAUGAGAAAUCAAAGUGUCGUCUGGGAUUGACUUUCUUUGGUUAUAAGUGGCUAGGUUACUGGAGAUGAUAAUUGUACAAUGGAAAUGUUGGGCAUGUAAAGACUGAUCCACAGCUGCAAUAGUCGCACGUGGCCAGCUGGGGGACA